UCCCCCAAAGACUCCCUACACCAUCAACAACCUUUAAGAGAGUUUGUCAAGGAUCUGCAGCCUAACUCGAAGAUCUUAUCAAGGCCCACACUACGCUCCAGGAUUGAAGCUACCAAGGAAAUGAAGGUGACUGAGGCCAUGAGAGGAGUUGACCACAUCACCAUCACCACCAACUGAUUGUCUGCAAGAAGACUGAGCUUCAUUGGUGUUACAGCCCAUUGGAUAGACCCUGACAGUCACACACCUUUGAUGUGUUGGCAGGCGCCCUAAAUCCAUUCUGAGUUUGAAAUCCGGGUUAAGAUUGUGAGAACAGACAACAGCUCUAAUUUCUUAAACUUUCCAAGUUUUUGUAGAAGAUGAUAACAACAAGACUGCAGAAGCAGGGUGGUGAAGCAGCAGCUCAGCCAGGACAGGAAGGGGAACAAGAGGAGAGUGAAGAAGUCGAAUUUGUUGAGGUGGCAACGAUCCUCAAUAAAGAUGGUUUUGAGUACCAGCUGCCGAAGCACCAGCGCUGUGCUUGUCACCUACUCAACUUAGUAUCUACAGUCGAUGCCCUGAAAGCAACAUCCGGUGAGGCUUACAAAAAGGUGUCCCGUUCAACAUUUGACAAGUGCUAAGCACUUUGGAACAUGCGGAAGAUCCACACUUACAGCCGAAUCAGUUGAAGCGACCUCCAAGUGCCAUGCCUGAAUUCUACAAGGUGGAACUCCUGGUUCAUGGCUGUAGAAAUAAUCUUCAAAGACAAAGGAUAGGCGGUUGUCAGUGUUCUCUGAACAUUUUUCAAACCAGCUGAAGUCGCCUUUCUCAGAGUUUGCUGCCACCAUGAGCCGAGUCGCAAUGGCCGUCAACAUCCUGCCGGCUGAAACCAAUGUCCAGAUGGGGUGGCUAAUUCCAACUAUCAAACUGCUGAUCACAAAACUGGACUGAAUCAAGUUGUCCCUGAAGUCCUGUAAGCCUCUGGUGGAUGCCCUACAACUGGGACUGAAUCAAGUUGUCCCUGAAGUCCUGUAAGCCUCUGGUGGAUGUGCUACAACUUGGACUGAAUCAAGUUGUCCCUGAAGUCCUAUAAGCCUCUGGUGGAUGUGCUACAACUGGGACUGAAUCAAGUUGUCCCUGAAGUUCUGUAAGCCUCUGGUGGAUGUGCUACAACUGGGACUGAAUCAAGUUGUCCCUGAAGUCCUGUAAGCCUCUGGUGGAUGUGCUACAACUGGGACGGAAUCAAGUUGUCCCUGAAGUUCUGUAAACCUCUGGUGGAUGCCCUACAACUGGGACUGAAUCAAGUUGUCCCUGAAGUUCUGUAAACCUCUGGUGGAUGUGCUACAACUGGGACUGAAGAAGCGCUUCAGCCACGUUUCACCACCCUGAGCUUAUUGCAGCCGCAAUCCUUUUUCCCCAAAAUCAAAACAUGGACAAAGGAUGAUGCCACCAUCAGAAUGGGAAUGGACUACAGCAAGGACCUGGAAGAACCCUUGCUGCAGCUAGGUGAUGGCACCAGUUCAUCAGAUGAGGACUUCUUCUCUGCAUUGAAGACGUCUCAAAACAAGAAAGCUCCAAACAGCAGGACGGACAUCUGGCCUGUUCAGCUGAUGAUAUGGAAUUGCUCAAGUCCUUCUUGGCAGUCUGUAAGUCUGUCUCUGUGGUUAAUCACACCCGUAGCUGCAUCAGCUACCUGGAAAGCAAGGCUGGAUUCCAGAAACUUUGAAAACCAGCUUUUGCUGAAGGUGAUCUGUAAAUUCUUCAACUUCAAGUAAUGACAUCUUAAUACUACUAGCAAGCCCAAGGACACAGGUGCCUUAUGCGUUUUGUUAAUUUAUGUUUAAAAUUCACGUUAUAUGUGUCCUUGUUACAAAGACCUGAGACACUGAUUUCUAAUACAGUUCCAUCAGUGGUGAUGUCCUCAUAUUCCUACAGUGAGAUUGUGUUCGGUUCUGUACAUGUACUUUUUAUGUAAUGCAGGAUGUUUUUCUAAAGCAACGUGACUGUACGUGUAAGUGCUUAAGUUUACUGGCUAUAUUACUUCAUUAGUAUUUUGUCUGUAAGAGAUGUAUUUUGAAGUGUUGCCUGUUUGAGAAUCAACAUUCCUUUUUAAAAAUCUAAACUUCGUGCAUCAUUUAGAAUGUUACCUUUAUGAAAAGAGCAAACCAAAUAAAAGGGCAGGCUGUUUUGCUUUUUGGAA